rnacentral:rRNA from 1 species
GUGGGGAAUCUUGCACAAUGGAGGAAACUCUGAUGCAGCGACGCCGCGUGAGCGAUGAAGCCCUUCGGGGUGUAAAGCUCUUUCGACGGGAACGAUAAUGACGGUACCCGAAGAAGAAGCUGCGGCUAACUACGUGCCAGCAGCCGCGGUAAUACGUAGGCAGCAAGCGUUGUUCGGAAUUACUGGGCGUAAAGAGUGUGUAGGCGGUGCUCCAAGUCUGGUGUGAAAUCUCCCGGCUUAACUGGGAGGGUGCAUUAGAAACUGGAAUGCUAGAGGAUGGGAGAGGUAAGCGGAAUUCCUGGUGUAGCGGUGAAAUGCGUAGAUAUCAGGAGGAACACCUGUGGUGUAGACAGCUUACUGGACCAUUUCUGACGCUGAGACACGAAAGCGUGGGUAGCAAACAGGAUUAGAUACCCUUGUAGUCC